AUCCCAAACUGCCAAGAAAAGCUUCUAGCGAGGUAAAAGGUGCCCGUACCGCAAACCGACACAGGUAGGUGGGGUGAGAAUCCUAAGGCGCGCGAGAGAACCCUCGUUAAGGAACUCGGCAAAAUGACCCCGUAACUUAGGGAGAAGGGGUGCCUCGGUAUCGUGACAGUUUAACUACUUGAGCGAGAAGAGGCCGCAGAGAAAAGGCCCAAGCGACUGUUUACCAAAAACACAGGUCCCUGCUAAAGCGAAAGCUGACGUAUAGGGGCUGACGCCUGCCCGGUGCUGGAAGGUUAAGGGGAAGUGUUAGACGCGAGUCGAAGCAGAGAACCGAAGCCCCAGUAAACGGCGGCCGUAACUAUAACGGUCCUAAGGUAGCGAAAUUCCUUGUCAGGUAAGUUCUGACCCGCACGAAAGGCGUAACGAUUUGGGCACUGUCUCAACGAGGGGCUCGGUGAAAUUGUAAUGACGGUGAAGAUGCCGUCUACCUGCGACAGGACAGAAAGACCCCGUGGAGCUUUACUGUAGCUUGACAUUGGGUUUUGGUAUUUGAUGUACAGGAUAGGUGGGAGACU
rnacentral:rRNA from 1 species